UGAUGUAUAGUUCUGCUAAGCURAAGAGCUACAACUUUUUCUUCAACUGAGUGUCUACAGCAAUCCGACAAAAUAUAAUUGAAAGGAAUGAGUGUUUACUCCCAUAAAUACAGAAUUACUGUUUUUUGAAGAAAAAGAGUCACAGCAAUGGAAGGAAGUCUGGACACCUCAUCAUAGCUUCAGUUUGCAGCUUGUAGACUCAGACACCUGCUGUAAUCUCCUGCUGUGAUUUAAUCGGAUUAGCCGGAUUUCUAUCCAGAACUUCAAUAGACCAUCUUCUGUUUCAUUUUUCAAUUUCUCUUGAAAAUGUCUGUGCAACUAAAGAAUCUUCCGAGUCGAUGCGAUUUGGUACAACUACACUCAAAAUGGCUAAUUUAYAAGUCUUCCCAUUUCUAAAAUUAACUACACCUGCUCUUAUGCAGGAAAGUAAGCACCAUUAAAUCAUGAAAUUGGUUAUGAUAAAACCAAAGAAAGUGAGAGUGAAAAUGUAAACACAAUGACAACUUGAUAUUGCCAAAAUUAAAACUUACAUUACACCAACUGAUAGCUAGCUGGAAGUCAGAAAUAUGAUACAGUAAAAUAAACAGUUUGAAGACUGAUCUUUAGCUAUCUGGCAGAGCAUGAAUUAAAGCAAACUUCAAACAACAUCAACAUUAGCUUAGUUCUCCUCUUAUGCUCUCUUUCAUUCCCUGCCUUUAAACAUGUGUUUUUAGCUGAAUUACAGGACUUUCAGCUGGUAGCUAGUGGACCGUUUUCACAUGGCCUCAGUUGCCCAGAUGUGUGGUAGCACAGUAUUU